rnacentral:ncRNA from 2 species
AUCCAUCGCGAGGGGUGGCGUAAAGCCUGAGAUGAUACCCAUGGAACCUGAUCCGGAUAAUACCGGCGAAGGGAAGCGGACAAGACAAAGA